rnacentral:rRNA from 1 species
GAUGAACGCUGGCGGCGUGCCUAAUACAUGCAAGUCGAGCGAACGGACGAGAAGCUUGCCUCUCUGAUGUUAGCGGCGGACGGGUGAGUAACACGUGGAUAACCUACCUAUAAGACUGGGAUAACUUCGGGAAACCGGAGCUAAUACCGGAUAAUAUUUUGAACCGCAUGGUUCAAAAGUAAAAGACGGUCUUGCUGUCACUUAUAGAUGGAUCCGCGCUGCAUUAGCUAGUUGGUAAGGUAACGGCUUACCAAGGCAACGAUGCAUAGCCGACCUGAGAGGGUGAUCGGCCACACUGGAACUGAGACACGGUCCAGACUCCUACGGGAGGCAGCAGUAGGGAAUCUUCCGCAAUGGGCGAAAGCCUGACGGAGCAACGCCGCGUGAGUGAUGAAGGUCUUCGGAUCGUAAAACUCUGUUAUUAGGGAAGAACAUAUGUGUAAGUAACUGUGCACAUCUUGACGGUACCUAAUCAGAAAGCCACGGCUAACUACGG